rnacentral:lncRNA from 1 species
UGUUUUCUUUCAGCAAAGAAUAACAUAUUGAAAUUACAACUAAUAUCUAUAUCUGGAACUGAUGAAAUUCGGGGGAAACAUGGAAUCGGUUUGUUAAGAUGCCUUAUUUAGAUUAGAAACUAAUAAAAACCAUCCUUGUACAUCCAAAAAAAAAAAAAUCCUUAUUUAUCCUUGUGCGUCCGGGUACAAUAAUCCUCCAGCAAUUUUAACACCUACAAUAUAAUGAUAUAUAUAAUGUAAAUAUCAAUUUCCUUAUCGAAAUUAAAUUAUGCCGAUCGAAAGUUAAAUAUAAUAAAAUAAAUAAAUUUGAUGCAAGAAACACUUUUUAAUAAUAAUAUACAAAUAAAUAAUGUUUGAUAUGCAACUAGACUAUAAUCUGGAUAUCGCCCAAAUUAGCAUUAUAAUUUAAUCGCCUCAUACGCCACUUAAAACAAAUUGCCCCAAUUGACACAUAGUAAAGAAUCUCCCGUUUGGCACCAAUAACAACAACUAUAUGUCACGCUAUGCAUACUAUACAGACUUUCUUUUAAAAUCAUCACUAUUUUCACCAACUCAAUUGAAAAUUUAAAACUCCACAUCAAUUUAUAAAAAACCAAUAGAAUACUCAAAUCUACAAUCAACCAUAAAAAAAAAUCAUAGAAUUAAAUAUACAAUAUAUUACACACAUAACUCAAAAUAUAUUAAAAUAGCAUAAAAUGUUAUAAAAAAAGUUCUUUGUCAUUGCUUCUUAACAAUUAAAUACUCCAUUAUUAAUUAAAUCAUAGUGGGAUCAAUUGAUCAGUUAAUUAAGAUAAAUAAAACUAAGGUGUCUAAUUUAUUAAUUAAAGAAAAAGAGUGUUACCAUUUUCUUAAAUUCUCUACACAUAGAUCGAUAAAAAAAUAAAAAAAUCAAGAAAAUAAUAAGAAGGACAUAUAAAAUGUUGGGAUGUUACAUUAUUAACACCUUAUAAUAGUUUCAUCCUCAAAACUAGAAGUUCGAAAAGAUAUUUAGGAUAGAGUUCCGUCACUAACUAAAAUUAUAGGGUAAGAGAAUCACUUUCAAAAAGAUGAAGUUAAAGUAGUUUGACACAUAAAUAAAAUAUUAUCUAUAUAUUAAAAUAAAAUUCCCAAGUCUUACAUUCAAUCACCAAAAAUUUAGUUUCGACUUCGAAGUUAGACAAUAAAAAAAUAUUUGAGGUAGAUUUUUAAAAGCUCUUUAUGUAAGAUAUUCCUUGAAAUAAAUAUCAACAUGAUAAGAAAUUUUAAGAAUGAAUUAAAAAGUCAUGUUUCUUGACAAAAAAAA